CCUCGUGGCUGCAGUGGGGAAUAUUGGACAAUGGGCGAAAGCCUGAUCCAGCCAUGCCGCGUGUGUGAAGAAGGCCUUCGGGUUGUAAAGCACUUUCAGUGGGGAAGAAAGCCUUGGGGCUAAUACCCUCGAGGAAGGACAUCACCCACAGAAGAAGCACCGGCUAACUCCGUGCCAGCAGCCGCGGUAAUACGGAGGGUGCGAGCGUUAAUCGGAAUUACUGGGCGUAAAGCGCGCGUAGGCGGUCUGAUAAGCCGGUUGUGAAAGCCCCGGGCUCAACCUGGGAACGGCAUCCGGAACUGUCAGGCUAGAGUGCAGGAGAGGAAGGUAGAAUUCCCGGUGUAGCGGUGAAAUGCGUAGAGAUCGGGAGGAAUACCAGUGGCGAAGGCGGUCUUCUGGACUGACACUGACGCUGAGGUGCGAAAGCGUGGGUAGCAAACAGGAUUAGAUACCCCGGUAGUC
rnacentral:rRNA from 1 species